GACCCAUCAAGAUAUCUCUGCCUCUAAUAAUCGCCUGGAUAGAAAUUUCCAUCUUAGCCCAAAGCAGCUCAACCUGGUUUUGACUAACGCCCCAUCUCCCUUUUUUUGUGUUCCUCUAAGUCAACAAGAGGACCUGGACGAGUCAGACCCUGUGUGGGAAGAUUGGAGAAAAGAAGGAAGGCUAGCCAAUUGAAUUAGGUCUGUGAGGUCAGACCACAGCCAAUGGGAGAAAAAACACAGACAUCAUCAUAGCAUAUAGAAGCAGAGUUGAGUGAAUCUAGCAUGUCAACUUGUCUCUAUGAACUGAAGAGUCAGGAAAAAUCCCCCUUCAAUGUCAAUGCAAAAGUAUCUGAAGACUUUAAAAUACCGGGCACACCAAAGCCAUUGGAAGAGGAAGAGGCAAACAACAAAAACCCCACCACCUGACAGUUCUGGUGAUGACGUGGACCAGCCAGGGCUCAAGUAUCUACUAAUGGAAGGCUAAGCAGGUGCAGCACCCUGGAGGACUGUUUGGUACUUUCUGCUGAACCUAAACAAAUGAAUACCCCAUCACCCAACAGUUUCUCUCCUACCUCAAACCCAAGGGAAAUGAACACAUGUGUGUUCCUGAUGCAUGCAAGAGUGCUCCAAGCAGCACUAUCUGUAAUGGUUCCCAACUAGAGACUGCUCAAAUGUCUAUUAUUGGAAGACUGGAUAAAGAUUGCAGUGUAGGUCAUAAUGAGUAAAUUGUGACAAACUACACUAUAGAAGAAUCUGAAUCUCACAAGCCAAAUACUGAACCUGGACACACACACACACACACACACACACAUAAAUUAAAGUUUUAUUUCUGAAAA
rnacentral:lncRNA from 1 species